GACGAACGCUGGCGGCGUGCCUAAUACAUGCAAGUAGAACGCUGAAGGAGGAGCUUGCUUCUCUGGAUGAGUUGCGAACGGGUGAGUAACGCGUAGGUAACCUGCCUGGUAGCGGGGGAUAACUAUUGGAAACGAUAGCUAAUACCGCAUAAUAGUAGAUGUCGCAUGACAUUUGCUUAAAAGGUGCAAUUGCAUCACUACCAGAUGGACCUGCGUUGUAUUAGCUAGUUGGUGAGGUAACGGCUCACCAAGGCAACGAUACAUAGCCGACCUGAGAGGGUGAUCGGCCACACUGGGACUGAGACACGGCCCAGACUCCUACGGGAGGCAGCAGUAGGGAAUCUUCGGCAAUGGACGGAAGUCUGACCGGGCAACGCCGCGUGAGUGAAGAAGGUUUUCGGAUCGUAAAGCUCUGUUGUAAGAGAAGAACGAGUGUGAGAGUGGAAAGUUCACACUGUGACGGUAUCUUACCAGAAAGGGACGGCUAACUACGUG
rnacentral:rRNA from 1 species